rnacentral:lncRNA from 1 species
AGGGGUGGGCAGAUGAAUGAAUGUAGGUCAAAUGGCUGAUAAGUGGAUGAGCUAGGAGGAGAACCCUGCGUUUCUGGCUGUGUAACUUUAUUUUGGACUUUAGCUAUUGCCUCUGUAGUGUGUUGGCUGUGAGCGACCCAAAGUGGAAAGAAUUUGGGGGUCAUGAUGCCUGUUUUGUUUCUGUAUUCUUACUCCUGGGAGAAUGGCAUAUUAGAUCUGCCUUUGGAUGCAACUGGGUGACUCUAAACAAAUAUGCUUUUCCCAGAAUCUGGUUUUCAUUCUUUUUAUAUCCUCAGGCUUACAAGUCAGUUGGGACGAGGAUACCAAGAGAACUGCCUAAUGGAAGAAAUCUGUUUGCUUCUAACUUAUAAUAUGAACAACCUCAGCAGACAGAUCAAAGCCUGUGGAAACUUCUACUGCCCUAAAGCAGUCUACAAAACAGCACUUCUGAGAGACAUUUAAGGCAUAUUUGGUCCGCUCCUUUAGAAAAGUUCAUAUCAAAAACUUCUGGGAAGUGUUCUGUAUUACAUCUGUCGCUGGGAUUCAUGUUGCAGAGGGGAAAAAAAAAACUCUGAAAAUCCCUCAAAAUGUUGAUUUCACCUAUCCAAUGCUUAGAAACUUGCUUGUUGAUAGAAACUUGUGUUCAAAGAGUAUUAAUUUCCAUUGUCCAUAACACACUUGGGAAAUGCUGGGAACAAAGCAGGUCUUGGUUGUGGUCCUGACUCUGCAAAAAUUUGUAGGCUUGCUUUUUCUUUGAACUUCAAGUCCCUCAUCUGCAAAAUAAGAGAGUCAGAAUCAAUGAUCUAGAGAGGGGAAAUAUAAUACAUAGCUGCCAUGUAAGAUAUGGUUAUGACAUCAGGUCUCUAUACUUACAAGAGCCCUAUACUUGACUUAAUUGUUUAUUUAUUUACUUAUUUACUUCCAUACAUACUUACUUAUUCACUCAUGUAUCUGUUUUAUCUUUAUGGGCUGUUGUGCAUCUAUGUGCACUUGCUUGGAUUAUGUAUGUAGCUGCCAGAGAGCAGCAGUGGUGUCUUCCUCUAUCGGUCUCUACCUUAUUCCUUUCCCCCUCACCUUUUAAUCCCAGCACUCGGGAGGCAGAGGCAGGCGGAUUUCUGAGUUCGAGGCCAGCCUGGUCUACAAAGUGAGUUCCAGGACAGCCAGGGCUAUUCAGAGAAACCCUGUCUCGAAAAACAAAACAAAACAAAACAAAACAAAACAAAACAAAACAAAACAAAGAGACAGAGUCUCUCACUGAGCCUGGAGCUGACUAGAGGCUAGUGGCCCUAGAACCUGCCUAUCUUUGACUUCAGUGCGCACUGCCUCACACAGUUUUUAUGUGGGGAUGAGGAUCUAAACUCACAUCCUCAUGUUUCCGCAGCAAGCACUUUAACCUUGAAGCCACCCAUCCAGCACUUAGCUAAUUAUUCUUUUUGAGAUAGGGUCUUGCUCUAUAACCCAGUGUAACCCCAACCUCUACCCUCCUGCUGCCAUUCAGAACGCUGGUGUUAUAGAUGCACACGAGUACACCCCUUUCC